rnacentral:rRNA from 1 species
GCCCUAGUAACGGCGAGUGAAGCGGCAACAGCUCAAAUUUGAAAUCUGGCUCUUUAGGGCCCGAGUUGUAAUUUGUAGAGGAUGCUUUUGGCGCGGUGCCUUCCGAGUUCCCUGGAACGGGACGCCUUAGAGGGUGAGAGCCCCGUACGGUUGGACACCAAGCCUCUGUAAAGCUCCUUCGACGAGUCGAGUAGUUUGGGAAUGCUGCUCUAAAUGGGAGGUAAAUUUCUUCUAAAGCUAAAUAUUGGCCAGAGACCGAUAGCGCACAAGUAGAGUGAUCGAAAGAUGAAAAGCACUUUGAAAAGAGGGUUAAAUAGCACGUGAAAUUGUUGAAAGGGAAGCGUUUGCGACCAGACCUUUUCCUAGCGGAUCAUCCGGUGUUCUUCGCCGGUGCACUUCGCUAGGUCGAGGCCAGCAUCGGUUUCUGCAGGGGGAUAAAAGCCCAGGGAACGUAGCUCUUUCGGGAGUGUUAUAGCCCUCCGCAUAAUACCCUUGCGGGGACCGAGGACCGCGCUUUUUGCAAGGAUGCUGGCGUAAUGGUCGUCAACGACCCGUCUUGAAACACGGACCAAGGAGUCGAACAUUUAUGCGAGUGUUUGGGUGUUAAACCCUCACGCGUAAUGAAAGUGAACGGAGGUGAGAGCCCUUACGGGUGCAUCAUCGACCGAUCCUGAUGUCUUCGGAUGGAUUUGAGUAAGAGCAUAACUGUUCGGACCCGAAAGAUGGUGAACUAUGCGUGGAUAGGGUGAAGCCAGAGGAAACUCUGGUGGAGGCUCGCAGCGGUUCUGACGUGCAAAUCGAUCGUCAAAUCUGCGCAUGGGGGCGAAAGACUUAUCGA